rnacentral:rRNA from 1 species
UACGUAGGCAGCAAGCGUUGUUCGGAAUUACUGGGCGUAAAGAGUGUGUAGGCGGUGCCGUAAGUUUGGUGUGAAAUCUCCCGGCUCAACUGGGAGGGUGCGCCGAAUACUGAAUGACUAGAGUGCGGGAGAGGAUAGUGGAAUUCCUGGUGUAGCGGUGAAAUGCGUAGAUAUCAGGAGGAACACCGGUGGUGUAGACGGCUAUCUGGACCGUAACUGACGCUGAGGCACGAAGACGUGGGGAUCAA